rnacentral:rRNA from 1 species
AUUGAACGCUGGCGGAAUGCUUUACACAUGCAAGUCGAACGGCAGCACGGGAGCUUGCUCCUGGUGGCGAGUGGCGAACGGGUGAGUAAUGCAUCGGAACGUACCUAUGAGUGGGGGAUAACUAUCCGAAAGGAUAGCUAAUACCGCAUACGCCCUGAGGGGGAAAGCGGGGGAUCGUAAGACCUCGCGCUGAUAGAGCGGCCGAUGUUCGAUUAGCUAGUUGGUGAGGUAAAGGCUCACCAAGGCGACGAUCGAUAGCUGGUCUGAGAGGAUGAUCAGCCACACUGGAACUGAGACACGGUCCAGACUCCUACGGGAGGCAGCAGUGGGGAAUUUUGGACAAUGGGGGCAACCCUGAUCCAGCCAUUCCGCGUGAGUAAAGAAGGCCUUCGGGUUGUAAAGCUCUUUCGGCAGGAACGAAACGGCCAUUACUAAUACUAGUGGUCAAUGACGGUACCUGAAGAAGAAGCACCGGCUAACUACGUGCCAGCCGCCGCGGUAA